AUGGAAGUUAGUUUGACGUCGCCAAACAGUGCAAGUGUGGUGGCAAUGGGAACCAUUCAGAAAACUGAUAGAAAAGCUAAAGCUAUUGAUGGCCAACCACUAGCUGAUUGUGUUGAAGUUCUUGUCAACAUCGUGCUCAAAAAAACAACUGAGCUGCCUAGUGCACAAGGGAAAAUAAACAAGCUAGGAGAUGCCCAAGCUAGGUGUAUUCCCUGGCCAUGCAAAAAUAUUAUGCAAACAGACCGUACUACCGUGCUGCACUCUAAGUUUCUAGUGUUUGUAGUCAGAUGUCUUUCAACAAUAGCGAGAAUGUGGAUCACAACAAAACAACUACUGGAACUCAGGUGA
rnacentral:rRNA from 1 species